GACGAACGCUGGCGGCGUGCCUAACACAUGCAAGUCGAACGGGGUCCAUGAGAGCUUGCUCUCGGAAGACCUAGUGGCGAACGGGUGAGUAACACGUGAGAAACCUGCCUUGGAGUGGGGAAUAACUCGGGGAAACUCGAGCUAAUACCGCAUACCUUCCUUUGAUCGCAAGGUCAGCUGAAGAAAGAAUUUCGCUCCAAGAGGGUCUCGCGGCCUAUCAGCUUGUUGGUGGGGUAACGGCCUACCAAGGCUACGACGGGUAGCUGGUUUGAGAGAACGAUCAGCCACACUGGAACUGAGACACGGUCCAGACUCCUACGGGAGGCAGCAGUGGGGAAUCUUGCGCAAUGGGCGAAAGCCUGACGCAGCAACGCCGCGUGCGGGAUGAAGGCCUUCGUGGUUGUAAACCGCUUUCAGCAGGGACGAAAAUGACGGUACCUGCAGAAGAAGCCCCGGCUAACUACGUGCCAGCAGCCGCGGUAAUAC
rnacentral:rRNA from 1 species